rnacentral:rRNA from 1 species
UACAGAGGGUGCAAGCGUUGUUCGGAAUUAUUGGGCGUAAAGGGCGCGUAGGCGGUGCGGUAAGUCUGUAGUGAAAUCUCUGGGCUCAACUCAGAGUCUGCUAUAAAAACUGCCGUGCUUGAGUGUGGGAGAGGUGAGUGGAAUUCCCGGUGUAGCGGUGAAAUGCGUAGAUAUCGGAAGGAACACCUGUGGCGAAAGCGGCUCACUGGACCAUUACUGACGCUGAUGCACGAAAGCUAGGGGAGCAAACAGG